rnacentral:tRNA from 1 species
GCCGGAAUAGCUCAGUUGGUAGAGCAGCUGAUUCGUAACCAGCAGGUCGGAGGUUCGAGUCCUCUUUCCGGCACCA